GACGAACGCUGGCGGCGCGCCUAACACAUGCAAGUCGAACGGAGUCAAGAGGAGCUUGCUUUUCUUGACUUAGUGGCGAACGGGUGAGUAACGCGUGAGUAACCUGCCCUGGAGUGGGGGACAACAGUUGGAAACGACUGCUAAUACCGCAUAAGCCCACGGCCCGGCAUCGGGCUGCGGGAAAAGGAUUUAUUCGCUUCAGGAUGGACUCGCGUCCAAUUAGCUGGUUGGUGAGGUAACGGCCCACCAAGGCGACGAUUGGUAGCCGGACUGAGAGGUUGAACGGCCACAUUGGGACUGAGACACGGCCCAGACUCCUACGGGAGGCAGCAGUGGGGGAUAUUGCACAAUGGGGGAAACCCUGAUGCAGCGACGCCGCGUGGAGGAAGAAGGUUUUCGGAUUGUAAACUCCUGUCGUUAGGGACGAUA
rnacentral:rRNA from 1 species